rnacentral:rRNA from 1 species
GUGUCAGCCGCCGCGGUAAUACGGAGGGUGCAAGCGUUAAUCGGAAUUACUGGGCGUAAAGCGCACGCAGGCGGUUGGAUAAGUUAGAUGUGAAAGCCCCGGGCUCAACCUGGGAAUUGCAUUUAAAACUGUCCAGCUAGAGUCUUGUAGAGGGGGGUAGAAUUCCAGGUGUAGCGGUGAAAUGCGUAGAGAUCUGGAGGAAUACCGGUGGCGAAGGCGGCCCCCUGGACAAAGACUGACGCUCAGGUGCGAAAGCGUGGGGAGCAAGCAGGAUUAGAUACCCCUGUAGUCC